rnacentral:rRNA from 1 species
AAUGAACGCUGGCGGCAUGCCUAACACAUGCAAGUCGAGCGGAGCGGCUGACGGGCGAGUAAUGCCUAGGAAUCCGCCUGGCAGCGUGGGAUAACGCCCGGAAACGGGCGCUAAUACCGCAUACUUUCAGAUGAGCCUAGCUCGGAGUAGCGAGUUGGUGGCGUAAAGGCCUACCAAGGCGACGAUCCGUCACUGGUCCGAGAGGAUGAUCAGUCACACUGCAACGGCGACACGGUCCAGCCUCCUACGGGAGGGAGCAGUGGGGCAUAUAGGAGUAUGGUGGAACGCCUGAUCCAGCCCUGCCGCGUGUGUGAAGCAGGUCCUCGGAUUGUAAAGCACUUUAAGUUGGGAGGCGUUACCAACAGACUAAGCCCCGGCUAACUUCGUGCCAGCAGCCGCGGUAAUUC